UAAGUGCACAGCAGCAGCAGCAGACACAAGUCAAAGCCUGAAGCUGUCAUGUUUGAGCUGGUACUUUCUGCUGGUGAUACCUCCCAUGUGUGGCUGUCUGCUUGCCCUCUCAGGGGGACAGUCUGGUGUGCACCAAAGGAGAUGAGUUUCCUCAUCUGCCUUUUGUGUGCAGGCACAUGCUGAAGGUGGGAGCCGGGUUUUGCUGAGACAACAGAUGCACAUGUGAAGAUAAUUUCUAUUCUUGUAUCUAACUCUUUGCUGCAAAAUAACAGUGGUGAGCGGUGGUAACUCAAGAAAACAAAAAAUAGAAACUAACAUAGUGGAAACAGGAUGAUAGAUUAAUGUCAUUUUGUAUGACAAUGGUUAUUGUCAAGUUACUGUCACAGGGUAGUUUUGCUCUGCGAAAAUGUUUUUCAUCUCAGCUCUCUUAUUGUCUGGUUGUUUCUCAGAUCAAGAAGACACUGGAGCUUGCAGUGCACAGAUCGUUACAUGUAUGGAAUUGACAACAAGGAUAUAAAAUGUAGGUUUGUCCUGAGGAUGAUUUAGCUACUGAAGAGAAAUAAAAGCAGAAAGAGGCCACACCUAAAAUCAUGGAGUGAGACUUUUUCUUCUCAUUGAUAUUUAAUAUUUUUAUAUUUAAAUAUUUAUUGAUAUUUAUUUAGAUCCUCGAAUCUUUGUUCCAGACAUUGACUCUGCAGCAAAUAACCAUAUCAAGGGAAGAAAGAUUUAUGUGACUAUUAUGUGCAGGCAAAACUGUGUGUAUCUGAUGCAUAAAAAGGUUUCUGAAUUUUGAGAUCUACUAAAUCAGUUGGGGUUUAUUGCAAUAUCUUUCUGUGGUUCAUUUGUUCAGGAAGAGAGCCUAUAUUAAAUAUGAAGGUCAUAUAUAUAGGAAAAUAUUUUAUUAGUUAAUAAAGCAAGAAAAAGUA